rnacentral:rRNA from 1 species
UACGGAGGAUCCGAGCGUUAUCCGGAUUUAUUGGGUUUAAAGGGUGCGCAGGCGGGAGAUUAAGUCGGCGGUGAAAUUUUGCAGCUCAACUGUAAAAGUGCCUUCGAUACUGGUUUCCUUGAGUGUGGAUGAAGUAGGCGGAAUUUGUGGUGUAGCGGUGAAAUGCUUAGAUAUCACGAGGAACUCCGAUUUCGCAGGCAGCUUACUAAACCACUACUGACGCUCAGGCACGAAGGCGUGGGGAUCAAACAGGAUUAGAUACCCUGGUAGU